rnacentral:rRNA from 1 species
GACGAACGCUGGCGGCGUGCUUAACACAUGCAAGUCGAACGGUGAACCAGGGCUUGCCCUGGGGAUCAGUGGCGAACGGGUGAGUAACACGUGGGCAACCUGCCCCUCACCCUGGGAUAACCCCGGGAAACCGGGGCUAAUACCGGACACGACCCGUUCGGACAUCUGCACGGGCGGAAAGAUUUAUCGGUGAGGGAUGGGCCCGCGGCCUAUCAGCUAGUUGGUGGGGUAACGGCCUACCAAGGCGACGACGGGUAGCCGGCCUGAGAGGGCGACCGGCCACACUGGGACUGAGACACGGCCCAGACUCCUACGGGAGGCAGCAGUGGGGAAUAUUGCGCAAUGGGCGAAAGCCUGACGCAGCGACGCCGCGUGAGGGACGACGGCCUUCGGGUUGUAAACCUCUUUCAGCGCCGAAGAAGCGAAAGUGACGGUAGGCGCAGAAGAAGCACCGGCUAACUACGUGCCAGCCGCCGCAGUAACAC